CUAGCCGUAAACGAUGGAUACUAGGCGUUGAGAGGAUCGACCCUCGCAGUGCCGUAGCUAACGCGUUAAGUAUCCCGCCUGGGGAGUACGCGCGCAAGCGUGAAACUCAAAGGAAUUGACAGGGGCCCGCACAAGCGGUGGAGUAUGUGGUUUAAUUCGAUGCAAUGCGAAGAACCUUACCAGGGCUUGACAUGUCCGGAACCCUGCCCAAAGGUGGGGGUGCCUACGGGAGCCGGAACACAGGUGGUGC
rnacentral:rRNA from 1 species